GUGCUGCUCCGCUCACCGCAGGGCUCUGGUGCCAGGGCUGGAGCGCCACUCCGGCUCCCAGGUCUCUGCAGUUUCUCCAGCUUUGUGCCCACGGCCUCCAGGCCUCUUAUUUCUUCGCAUUCCUUCAUUCCUUCAUUCCUUCAUUCCUUCCUCCUUCUCUUUUCUCUGUUAGAUGAGCAACAGCGGCCUGCUCGAAGUCCCAGCCGCACGCGAGACGACGAAGCCGGGCAGGGCGGCCGUCUCGCUGUCACCCCACAUCUCCGAAGAAGCUGCAGAAGGGAGGAAGCCGGGCGGGGUGUUUCUCAGAUUUUCCCGGUGCGGCCCGGGUUCCUGGGAAUGUGCAGGAGCGAAUGGGAACUUUGAGUCAGAGCCGGCUCCGCUAAGGCGCUAUAGGAGCUGCAGCUGUUGCAGGAGCUGCGGUCCGUGCCGUGUGCUUUUCGCUCGGCAGCGCUGCGCCACCCUGUGAGGGAGCCAACAUGGACAGGCCCAGUUUCCAAGCACGCCUCUCACUAGCGUCUACGCAUGCUGGAAUGAAAAAAUCUCCCUGCUUGAAAGCCAUUUUCAGAAAUUCUUUCAGCAACCUAGGAGCAAACACCAGAACUGAAAACACCCCCCCUCCCCCCCCGUAAGCGCUCCCAGCAGUGUUGCAGCGCACCAAUCCAUCGGCGGCGUCACGGCCUGCAGCCGCAGUGGACAGUGGGAGUACUGCACCCAGGAGCAGGCAGCAGGCACCCAGAAGGCACGGAGGCGCCGUCAACGUUCAACUGCCAGGGCUGUCCGCCAUUUCAUUUUUGUUUUUUUAGCAGUCUAGUG
rnacentral:lncRNA from 1 species